GACUAACGCUGGCGGCGUGCCUAAUACAUGCAAGUCGAACGGGAUUCUUUGAUCAGCUUGCUGAGAGAAGGAUCUAGUGGCGGACGGGUGAGUAACGCGUGGGAAUCUGCCUCUUACUGGGGGAUAACAGUGGGAAACUACUGCUAAUACCGCAUAAGAUCUUCGGAUGAAAGGUGCAACUGCACCGGUAAGAGAAAUGAGCCCGCGUCCCAUUAGCUAGUUGGUGAGGUAAAGGCUCACCAAGGCGACGAUGGGUAGCCGGCCUGAGAGGGUGAACGGCCACACUGGGACUGAGACACGGCCCAGACUCCUACGGGAGGCAGCAGUAGGGAAUCUUCCGCAAUGGGCGCAAGCCUGACGGAGCGACGCCGCGUGAGUGAUGAAGGCCUUGGGUCGUAAAGGCUCUGUUCUUGUAGGACGAAUAAGACCAGGGAGUGGAAAGCCCUGGUGAUGACUGUACUCAAGGAGAAAGCUCCGGCUAACUACGUGC
rnacentral:rRNA from 1 species